AAAUACUCAGACAGAUUCUGAAAAAAUACAAGUUCCAGUUACUCACUCACUGACGAUAAACCAUCGAGACUCAAACUGACACACCAAAAAAACUAUACAAUGGAUACAGUAAUAAAAUCAUUGGUUAUUUGUAUGUUAAUUGCUUGUGUAUAUGGUGCGCCAGCAGACACUAAGGGUAAACCAGCUGUCAAGGUUGAGAAAACUUUCGAUGUUGAAGGGCGAACGUUGACCGAAACUGUGGAACAAACUGAUGACGGCAUUAUAAUAGAUGUAGAGGCUCAACAAGGAUCCAGUGCUUUGACAGUGUUUACUGACGUCACUCAUG